rnacentral:rRNA from 1 species
UACGUAGGGGGCUAGGCGUUGUCCGGAAUCAUUGGGCGUAAAGAGCGUGUAGGCGGCCCGGUAAGUCCGCUGUAAAAGUCAAAGGCUCAACCUUUGAAUGUCAGUGGAUACUGCCGGGCUAGAGUCCGGAAGAGGCGAGUGGAACUCCUGGUGUAGCGGUGAAAUGCGCAGAGUAUCGGGAGGAACACCUAUGGCGAAGGCAGUUCGCUGGGACGUACUGACGCUGAGGAGCGAAAGUGUGGGAGCGAACAGG